rnacentral:rRNA from 1 species
GACGAACGCUGGCGGCGUGCUUAACACAUGCAAGUCGAACGGAAAGGCCUGCUUUCCCUUGUGGAUUGCGGGUACUCGAGUGGCGAACGGGUGAGUAACACGUGAGUGAUCUGCCCCCAACUUGGGUAUAAGCCUGGGAAACUGGGUCUAAUUCCCGAUAGGACUGCAGGGUGGUGCCUGUGGUUGAAAACGAUUUUCUAGUGGUUGGGGAUGAGCUCGCGGCCUAUCAGCUUGUUGGUGGGGUAAUGGCCUACCAAGGCGGCGACGGGUAGCCGGCCUGAGAGGGUGGACGGCCACAUUGGGACUGAGAUACGGCCCAGACUCCUACGGGAGGCAGCAGUGGGGAAUAUUGCACAAUGGGCGGAAGCCUGAUGCAGCGACGCCGCGUGGGGGAUGACGGCCUUCGGGUUGUAAACUCCUUUCGACCGCGAGGAAGCCACCUGGUUGGAAGGGUGGUGACGGUAGUGGUAGAAGAAGCACCGGCUAACUACGUG